AGCAGCCGCGGUAAUUCCAGCUCCAAUAGCGUGUAUUAAAGUUGUUGCAGUUAAAAAGCUCGUAGUUGAAUUUCGGGAUCAGUACGUCGGUCGUGCCUCCGGUAUGUACUGGUGUCACUGAUUCCUCCCUUCUGAAGAACUAUCAUGCCAUUAACUUGGUGUGGUGGGGAAUCAGGGCUGUUACUUUGAAAAAAUUAGAGUGUUUAAAGCAGGCUCGCGCUUGAAUACAUUAGCAUGGAAUAAUGAAAUAGGACGUUUAUCCUAUUUUGUUGGUUUCUAGGAUUGACGUAAUGAUUAAUAGGGAUAGUUGGGGCAUUAGUAUUCAAUUGUCAGAGGUGAAAUUCUUGGAUUUAUUGAAGACUAACUACUGCGAAAGCAUUUGCCAAGGAUGUUUUCAUUAAUCAAGAACGAAAGUUAGGGGACCGAAGACGAUCAGAUACCGUCGUAGUCUUAACCAUAAACUAUGCCGACUAGGGAUCGGAUGAUGUUAAUUUUUUAAUG
rnacentral:rRNA from 1 species